rnacentral:lncRNA from 1 species
CUGAGAGUAGCCACCUCACAACCCGGCCCUCAGUGCGCAGUGCCGCAGUGCCGGUGAACAGCCAGGGAUGCUGAAGCCCGAGUCGGCGAAACCCUGGGCUCGCGACUCCGCGGCAGCCCCGCGGGUUCCAGCGGCUGCGGCGCCCGGCCCUGCGCUCAUGAGGGCAGCGGGACGCGGAAAAACUCCGUUGCCCUGCUUUUGAGCGCCAAGGUGCUGCUCGCCCUUGUCAGAGCCGAGCCAGCAUUCAAGCGCAAAAGCCAUCUGGCCCUCGGGAAUGCCCUGCUACUGGCGACCCCAGGCCCGCACAGCACAGAGGACUUCGGCAAUGCUCCGCCAUCAGCAACUCUCCGGCUGGGCAUCCCGCAACUCGACCUGGAAAGUCCCAGACUGAAGACAUGGGAAAAAAUUUUAAAACAAGUAUCUCCUGUUCAUUUUAUGGAUGAGAGGACUUCACUCACUGAAUCUGCCAUGUUUGUCCGAAUUCCAGCUGUUUAUCUUGCAAGUUUCUUUAAGAUUAAUUCAAUGCAAAUGGAACUCUGAGAAUCAUGGGAAUACCUGCCAGAGCCCUUAUUAAUGCCUUCACUUAAACACUCCUUUGCCAGAGAGUCAUUAAUUUGCUAAAAGAAAAGUGCUAAAGCAGCCCUUUGCCUACAGCAGCUUUGAGAUGGCUGCCCAAUUAGUUCAGUAGCAUUCUGAUCCUCUUUCUAGGCCCCGUGGCCCUCUGAGGACACAAGAAGGCUCCGAUGAUAACCUGGCAACCCAGGUAGAAACUCAGCCAAGUGUGAGUGUUUGAAGCUGCAGUUUGGCUGCCAUCGUGUCGGCAGAAAGAAAGAAUUCAGGCUCCGUGUCAUCCAGUACAAAGGAUAAAAACGGAUUCAACCGGAAAUUCAAUGUGGCACCACAUAUGGGAUACAUGAGUGCGGUUAUACAACAGGCCACAGAUUUUUUUUUGAACAGUCUCCUACAUGUGAUGCCGAGGACAUGUGUAACCAUCAUAACGUCUCUAGGAAUCUGUAUUUAAUUUGAGUUGGGGUGGUGGCAGGGAUUGGAGAUCUGAAGCCGCCACAGGUUUGUGGCAGAUGGCUCUGUGUCAGCUAUGACAAGCAGCCAGGCUCGGCUUCCUCUGCAGAUUUUCUUUUCUCUCUGAUCAGGUAAAUAUGGGCACACUCUGGAAAGUUCUUCAGAUUCUGCCUUAGGCUGCAAGU